rnacentral:miRNA from 1 species
GGCAGAGAAUUGCUUGAACCCAGGAAGUGGAGGUUGCAGUGAGCUGAGAUCAUGCCACUGUACUCCAGCCUGGGUGACAGAGUGAGACUCCAUCUC